UUUUGUUUUUUUUGUCAGUAAUGGGCCAUGUUUAAAGAUGGAACCCUAAACCAUUGUCAGCAAAAAAUUUCGUCGUGCAAUUUGUGUUGUUUCCGUCACAUCGGAAAACCUCUCCGGUGCGGUUGUGGCAUCUUGCUCUCCGUCACCUCCAAGUGGGAAAAUGUUGAAGUUCCUAUCAAAAGUGAAGAUCGAGUACAACGCACUGGACCCGCGAAUAGCAUCGUGUAUGGAGUUCAUGGCACAGUGCAACUCACGCAAGGCGAGGGAAUCAAACCCUGCGUUCCAGGUGGAGGUGAAGCGCCGAACUGACGAACACCCACCGCAGAUCACUGUGACCUUUGUCAACGGCGUCGAGCAAGCCUUCGAUGCGACCUCAACCCCUGCACAGAGCAUAAGGACCAUGAUUCUUGAAAAAGGCCAAACCCUAGAGACCGAGCAGAUGUUCCGAGAAGCUGGUGAGUCAUGGCCUGUCAUCAUCCCCAAAGAAGAGCUAUCUCAUCCCGCAUCUGGCAUCAAGCCAAGGAAAGCAGAGGAGAAGAAGCAAUAGCCAUGUAUUGUUGAGCCUACCAACGGCCAGGAAAUGUUCCGAUUUUCUCAGGCAUUCUCUGAUUUCUUUUUGGAAACUCAAGCCUAAUGAAUCCAUUGGAGGAGUGCUGUGUGGCAAACAUGGGACAUGAAUGUGUUGAUGUGGAGGACAAAGGAGCAAAACAAUAUAAAGGGUGUCAAAAUCCUAAUCUUGCAUUCUUCUGGGACAUCGUUCACCCGUCACAAAAUGGUUGGAACGCAAUCUUCACUUUGUUGCAACCUUCUAUAGCCCAAUUCACUCUACCGUAAUAACUUGGUGUCAUAUAUGGAAUUCUAUUCUGUUUUUGCUUUUAAGUUUAGAAUCCUCAUCAGCAGCACUGUAAAAUCCUAAACUAGAAUAUGGUUUAGUUACUAAUUUAUAAUAAUGUUUAAGAGACAAUAAAAUUUUAG